UUCAGCUAUCAUUUUGCAGUUUUGUGAGUGUGUCUGAAGGAGAAAUCUCUAGAAGCAGACUCACUGAAUCAAUUGUGUUUCUGACAGGUGUUUCCAAAUCGCCGAAAUGCAUAUGUAGCAUUUGCCGCCUGUGCCCAGCUCACAUUCCGAGGACCUCUCAGUGUGUUUCUGUGACUUCCAACGGUCAGUAUCUGCAUCCUUGUGCCUGAGGGUCCACCCUCCCCAUUGCUGAUUGCAGAAGGUUUUCUGUGGGAUUGUGGCGGUCAUGAGGACAGAAAAUUACCCAACACACACACACACACACACACACAACCGUCAUCCAUGACUCUUCAGCUCCCCAUCCCUCCAGUGGGAUAAUUCUGAGGUUUGUAUGUUGUAUUAUCUUCCAGAGUUUUCCCACAAGGUAGCAGGUUUAAUAAUGCACCUUUCGGUAGCUGCCUUACUUUUUCUAUGUCUCUUCCCUACUUCCCUUUCCAGUGUCCUCUACCAGUGGCCCAAUUUGAGGUGCCUUCCUUGCAUUCUUUUUGUUUGGAAUUACAAUCCGGCAAAAGUGAGGUUUUCAGAAGUGGAAUGGAAGGAAGGACCUAAGACACUAUCCCCACCCCUGGGAACCUUCACUGUGAGAGUCCAUUUGAGACCUUACCUGUCAAAUCACUGUGGCCAAGUUUCAUCUCUUCGUAAAGAUUCUACAUGAAGGGAUGGCAUGGAGGAAUGGCUACAAAAUAGAAACCACUGACGUCCCCAUCUCUUCUCCCUGCCAAUGUUUCAUCAGCGCUGAUAAAGCCGUUGGGAAAAUACCUCCUUGACUCUUCUGCCAUCUACUGACUUGGAGAAGUGCUUAUGCAGCAGUGGAACAUAAACCACUACUGGGACAGAGCAGGACCCGGAUGCUGAGCUCUGGAGUAGAAGACAAAAGACCAAAGCUAUUAUUGCAUUGGGGGCUGGGAGUGGAGAGUUGGAUUUACAAGUGAUUUUUUUUAGUUUGUUAAAAACAAAGUUGUUCCAUUAUCUUUACAAUGAGAAUAUAUAUUUUUAAAGCCAGAUAGGUUGGCUUCUUAGCUAUGGUUAUUUGUUCUGGUGUAAAGAGGUUCAUAUUUAAUACACCCCAUUGCAUCCUACAUAAUGUGACGAUAAUAUCCACUGUCAAGAAAGAAUGUGUGAACUUAUUCAUCUAAUAUAUAUAUUUAAAUCAAUCAAAGAAGAAACCUAUCUCUAACCAAGUAGUAACUGAGUUCUCUCGCAAUGUGAAAAAAUAACUAACUAAAAUGUGGGCUUUAAACACAGUUGAGGUCUAAAAGCUCUCUCCUUUGGAUAAGUAAAAAAAUCAGGCAGCUUGGUUCUCUGAGCCGUCUGGCGUGGCAGAUGCUGGGAACACGCACUACAAUCAGGGUCAAGCGGGCAGUAUUUUCUAUAGAGAGCACACUCUGCAGUCCACUUUGUACUCUAGAAAUCCCAAGCAAAGCUGCUUCUCUGAGCUCCUUCCAUUGGAAAGAGACCACUCCACAUGCCAUUACUG
rnacentral:lncRNA from 1 species